rnacentral:tRNA from 1 species
GUGUCUGAAGGCGGUAAAUAUGAUAAUUCAGCCUCCGGAGCUGAAAUCCGCUGGUUCGAACCCAGCCGGGCGUACCA